rnacentral:rRNA from 1 species
GAGUGUGACGAUGAAGUAUUUCGGUAUGUAAAGUUCUUUUAUUGAAGAAGAAAAAGUAGUGGAAAAACUAUAUUGACGUUAUUCAAUGAAUAAGCCCCGGCUAACUAUGUGCCAGCAGCCGCGGUAAGACAUAGGGGGCGAGCGUUAUCCGGAAUUAUUGGGCGUAAAGGGUGCGUAGGCUGUUAGAUAAGUCUAUAAUUUAAUUUCAGUGCUUAACGCUGUCUUGUUAUAGAAACUGUCUUGACUAGAGUGAGAUAGAGGCAAGCGGAAUUCCAUGUGUAGCGGUAAAAUGUGUAAAUAUAUGGAGGAACACCAGAAGCGUAGGCGGCUUGCUGGGUCUUUACUGACGCUGAGGCACGAAAGCGUGGGUAGCAAACAGGAUUAGAUACCCUGGUAGUCCACGCCGUAAACGAUGAGUACUAAGUGUCGGGGUAAAACUCGGUACUGAAGUUAACACAUUAAGUACUCCGCCUGAGUAGUACGUACGCAAGUAUGAAACUUAAAGGAAUUGACGGGACUCCGCACAAGCGGUGGAUCAUGUUGUUUAAUUCGAAGAUACACGAAAAAUCUUACCAGGUCUUGACAUACUCUGCAAAGCUAUAGAAAUAUAGUGGAGGUUAUCAGGGAUACAGGUGGUGCAUGGUUGUCGUCAGUUCGUGUCGUGAGAUGUUAGGUUAAGUCCUAAAACGAACGCAACCCUUGUCGUUAAUUGCCAGCACAUAAUGGUGGGGACUUUAACGAGACUGCCAAUUAAACAUUGGAGGAAGGUGAGGAUUACGUCAAAUCAUCAUGCCCCUUAUGAUCUGGGCUACAAACGUGAUACAAUGGCUGUUACAAAGAUUAGUUGAAAA